CCUGGUUGAUCCAACCAGUAGUCAUAUGCUUGUCUCAAAGAUUAAGACAUGCAUGUAUAAGUAUGAACUAAUUCAGACUGUGAAACUGCGAAUGGCUCAUUAAAUCUGUUAUAGUUUAUUUGAUGGUAUUUACUACUCAGAUAAAUAUAGUAAUUCUAGAUCUAGUACUUGCAACAAACCUUGACUUCUGAAAGGGAAGCAUUUAUUAGUUAAAAUUUUGACGUAGGCUCUUCCCAUUACUGUGAUGAUUCAUGAUAACUCGGUAGAUCGCACGGCCGUCGUGCCGGCAAUACAUUAUUUAAAUUUAUGCGCUAUCAACUUUUGAUGGUAGGAUAGUGGCCUACAAUGGUGGUAAUGGGUGAUGGAGAAUUAGGGUUCAAUUUUGGAGAGGGAGCCCGAGAAACGGCUAUUAUGUCUAGAGAAGGCAGCAGGCGCACAAAGUACCAAAUCCUGACACGGGGAGGUUGUGCCAAUAAAUAACAAUACCAGGCUCAAUGAGUCUGGUAAUUGGAAUAAGUAUAAUCUAAAUCCCUUAACGAGGAUCCAUUGGAGAGCAAGUACGGUGCCAAUAGCCGCAGUAAUUCCAGCUCCAAUAGCAUAUAUUUAAGUUGUUACAGUUAAAAAGCUCGUAGUUGGACAUUUGGAUGGACCGGACUGUCCGCCUAUGGUGUGCACCGAUCGUCUAGUCCCUUUUGUCAGUGAUGUGCUCCUGGGCUUAACAGGCCAUGCCGUUCCUCCCGCGCUAUUACUUUGAAGAAAUUAGAGUGCUCAAAGAAAGCCUACGCUCUUUAUAUAUUAGCAUUGGAUAAAAACAUUAUAAGAUUUUGGUCCUAUUACGUUGUCCUUCGGGAUCGGAGUAAUGAUUAACAGGGACAAUCUAGGGAAUUCAUAUUUCAUAGUCAGAGGUGAAAUUCUUUUAUUUAUGAAAGAUGAAAAACUGAGAAUACAAUUGUCAAGGAUGUUUUCAUUAAUCAAGAACAAAAAUUAUGGUCUCAAAGACAAUAAGAUACAGUCCUAGUCUUAACCAUAAAUGAUACUGACCAGGGAUCGGCGGAUGUUUCUUUUAGGACUCCGUCGGCACCUUAUGAGAAAUCAAAGUUUUUGGGGGGGGGGGGGGGGGGGGGGUAUGGUCGCAAGGAUAAAAUCUAAAGGAAUUGACUGAAGAGAACCUCUAGGAGUGGAGCCUACGGCUUAAUUUGACUCAACACGAGGAAAUUUACUAGGUCCAGACAUAGUAAGGAUUGACAGAUGGAGAGCUCUUUCUUGAUUCUAUGGGUGUGCAUGGCCAUUCUUAGUUGGUAGAGCAAUUUUUUUGGAUAAUUCUAUUAACGAAUGAGACCUCAUCCCGCUAACUAGCUAUGCGGAGUUAUCCCUUCACGGCCAUCUUCUUAGAGGGACUACGGCCUUUUAGGCCGUGGAAGUUUGAGGAAAUAAUAGGUCUGUGAUUUGCUUAGAUGUUCUGGGCCACACGCGCUCUAUACUGAUGUAUUCAAUAAGUUUAUAGACUUGGCCGACAGGCUCGGGAAAUUUUUUAAAUUUUAUCAUAAUGGGGAUAGAUCAUUACAAUUGUUGGUCUUCAACGAGGAAUUCCUAGUAAGUGCGACUCAUCAGCUCGCAUUGACUAUGUUAUACGCCAAAAUUACACCUAUCUUACGACAGAGUAAGCGGUCGCUGUAAAAUAUAGAACCUAACUGAGUUGGGUGUCGAAUCCCAUAGGGAAUACUAUGUUCACUAAGUAUUGUGAAUGUUAUUAGACUGUUGAUCUAAGGUUCCUGGGUAAAAGGGGGUUUG
rnacentral:rRNA from 1 species